rnacentral:rRNA from 1 species
ACGCGUGGAAAACCUGCCGUAUACUGGGGGAUAACACUUAGAAAUAGGUGCUAAUACCGCAUAAGCGCACAGCUUCGCAUGAAGCGGUGUGAAAAACUCUGGUGGUAUACGAUGGUUCCGCGUCUGAUUAGCUAGUUGGUGGGGUAAUGGCCUACCAAGGCAACGAUCAGUAGCCGGCCUGAGAGGGUGAACGGCCACAUUGGGACUGAGACACGGCCCAAACUCCUACGGGAGGCAGCAG